UACGUAGGGGGCAAGCGUUAUCCGGAAUUAUUGGGCGUAAAGAGUGCGUAGGUGGUUACCUAAGCAGGGGGUGAAAGGCAAUGGCUCAACCAUUGUUAGCCCUCUGAACUGGGUUACUUGAGUGCAGGAGAGGAAAGCGGAAUUCCUAGUGUAGCGGUGAAAUGCGUAGAUAUUAGGAGGAACACCAGUGGCGAAGGCGGCUUCUGGACUGAAACUGACACUGAGGCACGAAAGUGUGGGGAGCAAACAGG
rnacentral:rRNA from 1 species